rnacentral:rRNA from 1 species
CCUACGGGUGGCUGCAGUGAGGAAUAUUGGUCAAUGGCCGCAGGGCUGAACCAGCCAAGUCGCGUGAGGGAUGACGGUCCUAUGGACUGUAAACCUCUUUUGUCAGGGAGCAAAGGGCGCCACGUGUGGCGAUUUGCGAGUACCUGAAGAAAAAGCAUCGGCUAACUCCGUGCCAGCAGCCGCGGUAAUACGGAGGAUGCGAGCGUUAUCCGGAUUUAUUGGGUCUAAGGGGUGCGCAGGCGGAAUGUCAAGUCAGCGGUAAAAUUUCGGGGCUAAACCCCGUCGUGCCGUUGAAACUGGCGUGCUUGAGUGAGGGAGAAGUAGGCGGAAUGCGUGGUGUAGCGGUGAAAUGCAUAGAUAUCACGCAGAACUCCGAUGGCGAAGGCAGCAUGCCGGCGCUCAACUAACGCUGAGGCACGAAAGCGUGGGUAUCGAACAGGAUUAGAUACCCCGGUAGUC